UCCGUAGGCGGCUUAUAAGUCAGUGGUGAAAGCCCUACGCUUAACGUAGGAACGGCCAUUGAUACUGUUAGGCUUGAAUUAUUAGGAAGUAACUAGAAUAUGUAGUGUAGCGGUGAAAUGCUUAGAGAUUACAUGGAAUACCAAUUGCGAAGGCAGGUUACUACUAAUGGAUUGACGCUGAUGGACGAAAGCGUGGGUAGCGAACAGGAUUAGAUACCCUGGUAGUCCACGCCGUAAACGAUGGAUACUAGCUGUUGGGCGCAAGUUCAGUGGCUAAGCGAAAGUGAUAAGUAUCCCACCUGGGGAGUACGUUCGCAAGAAUGAAACUCAAAGGAAUUGACGGGGGCCCGCACAAGCGGUGGAGCAUGUGGUUUAAUUCGAUGAUACGCGAGGAACCUUACCAAGGCUUAAAUGUAGUUUGACCGUUUUGGAAACAGAACUUUCGCAAGACAAAUUACAAGGUGCUGCGUGGUUGUCGUCAGCUCGUGCCGUGAGGUGUCAGGUUAAGUCCUAUAACGAGCGCAACCCCUGUUGUUAGUUGCCAGCGAGUCAAGUCGGGAACUCUAACAAGACUGCCAGUGCAAACUGUGAGGAAGGUGGGGAUGACGUCAAAUCAUCACGGCCCUUACGCCUUGGGCUACACACGUGCUACAAUGGGACGGUACAGAGAGCAGCCACUGGGUGACCAGGAGCGAAUCUACAAAACCGU
rnacentral:rRNA from 1 species